CUGAGGAGGAAACAACGAGGGAGUAAGGCUGGGGUUAAACAGAGGAUGAAGAGGCGACGUUUUAAACCCUGCAUCCCCGCGGUCAUAACAGGGAAUGUCAGGUCCCUGGCAAAUAAGAUGGACAAGCUGGAGGCACUCACACGGACACAGCGGGAGUACAGAGAGGCCAGUAUCAUGUGUUUCACGGAGACAUGGCUCCAUGGACUGAUACCGGACUCUAAUGUGACGAUCGCCGGCUUCAGCACUGUGCAAGCGGACCGAGACACCACCGCGGCCGGUAAGAAGAAAGGAGGGGGACUUGCCGUGUUCAUUAGCAACAGGUGGUGCAACCCGGAGCAUAUUCACGUCAAGGAGCGCGUGUGCAGUCCCGACGUGGAACUUAUUGCUAUCGGACUCCGUCCAUGCUAUUUGCCACGGGAGUUUAUUAAUGUCAUCGCCAUCACUGUUUAUAUACCUCCGACUGGUAAAGCGAACACGGCCUGUGACGUUAUUUACUCUGUCAUGGCUGACCUGCAGAAUAAACAUCCUGGAGCCCUUAUCCUCAUCACAGGUGACUUCAAUCAUGCCUCCCUUAGGUCCACUCUCCCUACAUUCCAUCAAUAUGUCCAGUGCAGCACAAGAGACGUUAAGACUUUGGAUUUACUGUAUGCUAAUGUCACCAAUUCAUGCACCUCCACUGCACUCCCUCCGCUAGGCAAGUCUGACCAUAAUCUCGUGCUGCUCUCCCCAUCAUACACACCUGUGGUUAAGCAGCAAUCAGUCACUAUGAGGACUGUUAUGAAAUGGUCAAAUGGUGCCAUGGACUGUCUGCGGGAUGCCCUGGAGACCACCAACUGGUCUGCUCUCUGUGAACCACAUGGUGAGGACCUGGAUGGACUGACAGACUGUGUUUCUGACUACAUCAAGUUCUGCACUGAGAACUCCGUCCCCACCAAGAAGGUACGCUGUUACCCAAACAACAAACCAUGGGUGACAAGUGACCUGAAGGCCCUUUUGAACAAGAAGAAGAGGGCCUUCACUGCUGGGGACCCAGCUGAGCUCAGGAGAGUACAGAAGGAACUGAAACGCAGUCUGAAGGAGAGCAAGGACACCUUUAGGAAGAAGCUGGAGGGCAGACUGGAGAGGAACCAGACCAGGGAUGUUUGGAGUGGGAUGAGAACAAUCACUGGCUUCCAGAAGAAAGGAAUACGGUCAGCUGAUGGGAGCGUGGACCAAGCUAAUGAGUUGAACCAGUUUUUCAACAGAUUUGAUUCUAGCUCUCCCUCCCCAGCUGUCCCAAUAUUCCUCUGGAUAACAAUGGGUCCCCUUCACACCUCCCAGACCCCCUAACACCUCUGCCAACUUCUUCCCCCUCCCCCCUGCUGACACCCUACAUGGAUACCAACAUGUCACCCAUCCCCCCGACAUGACUAUCCUUCACGCCUAGCCAGGUGAGGAGAGAGCUGGAGAGUGGGCUGAUGCCGGACCAGACGGCAUCAGCCCACGAGUGCCGAAGAACUGCUCCAGGCAGCUGUGUGGAAUACUGCAGCACCUGUUCAACCAGAGCCUUCAUCUUCAGAGGAUCCCAGUGCUUUGGAAGACAUCCUGCCUGGUCCCGGUGCCGAAGAAGACCCAUCCUGUGGCACCGAGUGACUACAGGCCAAUAGCACUGACCUCCCACAUUAUGAAGGUCAUGGAGCGGCUGGUGCUGUCACACAUCAGACCUCUGGUGAGCCCCUUUCAGGACCCUCUGCAGUUUGCCUAUCAGCCCAAGGUGGGGGUUGAUGACGCGGUAAUAUGCUUGCUACAGAGGGCUUACUCCUCCUUGGACAGAC
ensembl:lncRNA